GGUUGUUCUGGUGAUUGGUUAGCCUCCAGUGGACACUUAAAGGCAUAUUCAGGAAGAGAAUAUGAUAAAUAAAUAAGAACCAACAGGCUGAACUUGGUCUUAAAAGCGGUAGUUCACAGAAAGGCAUGUCAUCUUAUGUACUGAUUUUUACGACUUGCGGCAACCAAAUCUUACUUCAUACUUAGCGAAAAAAAACAAAAA
rnacentral:lncRNA from 1 species